rnacentral:rRNA from 1 species
AGAGUUUGAUCCUGGCUCAGGAUGAACGCUGUGGAUACUCUUUAUACAUGCAAGUCGAACGACAUAAGGUAGGUUUACCUAUUUUUUGUAGUGGCGUACGGGUGAGUAAUAAAUAGGAACGUACCUUCUAGUGUGGAAUAAAAUACCGCAUAAGCACGAAAGUGGAAAGGCGAAAGCCGCUAGAAGAUCGGCCUAUCCCGAAUAGGUAGUUGGUGGGGUAAAGGCCUACCAAGCCGUGUUCGUAGUUGGUCUGAGAGGACGACCAGCCACAAUGGGAUUGAGAUAAGGCCCAUACUCUUUUUUGGAGGCAGCAGUAGGGAAUUUUGGUCAAUGGGGGAAACCCUGAACCAGAGAUAUCCAGUGAAAAAAGUAUGAAUUCUUCUUUUGACAACUAUAAUGGUUGUAGAAUAAGCACCGGCUAACUCUGUGCCAGCAGCUGCGGUAAGACAGAGGGUGCAAGCGUUAUUCGGAAUUAUUGGGUGUAAAGGGCGAGUAGACGGUUUUAUAAGUUAGAAUGUUAAAUCCAAGGGCUUAACCUUUGGGCCGCAUCUAAUACUGUAGAACUAGAGAAAGUGAGAGGUAAAUGGAAUUACUAAUGUAGGGGUUAAAUCCAAAGACAUUAGUAGGAACGCCAAAGGCGAAGGCAAUUUACUAUUGCAUUUCUGACGUUGAACCGCGAAAGUGUGGGGAGCAAACAGGAUUAGAUACCCUGGUAGUCCACACCGUAAACUAUGAGAGCUAAAUAUUGGAAUUUAUUUUUCAGUGUUAAAGCUAACGCUUUAAGCUCUCCACCUGGAGAGUACAUUCGCAAGAACGAAAUUUAAAGGAAUUGGCGGGGGUUCGAACAAGUGGUGGAGCAUGUAGUUUAAUUCGAAAGUACGCGAAAAACCUUACCAGCCUUGAAGUAACACCUCCUUAGGGAGAGUCUAGAGAGAGAAUUUUUGGAAGAAUAUUGUUACAGGUGCUGCAUGGCCGUCGUCAGCUCGUGUCGUGAGAUGUUAGGUUAAGUCCUUUAACGAGCGCAACCCUCACUGUUAGUUGCUGAAAACAGAACUCUAACAGGACAGAAAGCGAUAAGCUUUAGGAAGGAGAGGAUGAUGUCAGGUACGCAUGGCCCUAUAUGGGCUGGGCUACAUAUGUGCUACAAUGGUGGAUACAAAAAGAUGCAAUGGGGUGACCCGGAGCCAAACUCUAAAAGUCCAUCUCAGUCCAGAUUGAUCCUUGCAACUCAGGAUCAUGAAGUUGAAAUCACUAGUAAUCGUGAAUCAGAACGUCACGGUGAAUAAGUUCUCGAACCUUGCGCACACCGCCCGUCGCGUCAUGGGAGUUGGCACCG